rnacentral:tRNA from 1 species
CGGCCAGUAGCUCAACGGAGAGAGCGCUUUCGUAUGUCACGCCUUGCCUGAUUUUAUCGGGCUGAAGAUGUACGGUUAUCGGUUGCUUAACUGAAGGUUGGAGGUUCGACUCCUCCCUGGCCGACCA